rnacentral:misc_RNA from 1 species
UUUUUUUUUCUCCUUUUUUUUUCUGUUAACUUGAGUACUUCAUUUGAAGCUGUUGACAUUUUCUUUCAUUUCAUUUCUGAACUUAUAGGGCUUGUUUAUAGAAUUCAAUCUUUAUGAGUAGAAUUUCAAUUUAUGUGCUGCCUUUGUGGGAUUUAUCUGAAUCUCAUGAAUGACAUCUGGAUUCAUUUGUUCUUGGAUCAGUUAAGCCUAAGUUUUAGACUUUGGCUGGUUUGGGCCUCGUGUAAUGCUAUAAUUUGAUGUUCUUGCCUAGCUUAAGCGCUUACUGAAUGCAUAAAAAAAAAUUCAUGAAGUUAUCAUUUACUAUGGAAACUCUAAUUUGAAAAUGGUUUUUAUUUUUCCAUAAAUAGGAUAGCUAGUCAGGUUGUUAUUUUUCAUAAAUACUUCGAGUGUUAACAUAUUGUUGUUCUUUAUGUAGAAAAUUGAAGCUAUAUUGGAAAA